AGUGAACGCUGGCGGUAGGCCUAACACAUGCAAGUCGAACGGCAGCACAGUAAGAGCUUGCUCUUACGGGUGGCGAGUGGCGGACGGGUGAGGAAUACAUCGGAAUCUACUUUUUCGUGGGGGAUAACGUAGGGAAACUUACGCUAAUACCGCAUACGACCUACGGGUGAAAGCAGGGGAUCUUCGGACCUUGCGCGAUUGAAUGAGCCGAUGUCGGAUUAGCUAGUUGGCGGGGUAAAGGCCCACCAAGGCGACGAUCCGUAGCUGGUCUGAGAGGAUGAGCAGCCACACGGGAACUGAGACACGGUCCAGACGCGUACGGGAGACAGCAGUGGGGAAUAUUGGACAAUGGGCGCAAGCCUGAUCCAGCCAUACCGCUUGGGUGAAGAAGGCCUUCGGGUUGUAAAGCCCUUUUGUUGGGAAAGAAAAGCAGCAGGUUAAUACCCCGCUGUUCUGACGGUACCCAAAGAAUAAGCACCGGCUAACUUCGUG
rnacentral:rRNA from 1 species